AUUGAACGCUGGCGGCAUGCCUUACACAUGCAAGCCGAACGGUAACAGGUCUUCGGAUGCUGACGAGUGGCGAACGGGUGAGUAAUACAUCGGAACGUGCCCGAUCGUGGGGGAUAACGAGGCGAAAGCUUUGCUAAUACCGCAUACGAUCUACGGAUGAAAGCGGGGGAUCUUCGGACUACGCGCGGACGGAGCGGCCGAUGGCAGAUUAGGUAGUUGGUGGGAUAAAAGCUUACCAAGCCGACGAUCUGUAGCUGGUCUGAGAGGAUGAUCAGCCACACUGGGACUGAGACACGGCCCAGACUCCUACGGGAGGCAGCAGUGGGGAAUUUUGGACAAUGGGCGAAAGCCUGAUCCAGCCAUGCCGCGUGCAGGAUGAAGGCCUUUGGGUUGUAAACUGCUUUUGUACGGAACGAAAAGCCUCUUUCUAAUAAAGAGGGGUCAUGACGGUACCGUAAGAAUAAGCACCGGCUAACUACGUG
rnacentral:rRNA from 1 species